rnacentral:rRNA from 1 species
UACGAAGGUGGCUAGCGUUGUUCGGAAUUACUGGGCGUAAAGCGCACGUAGGCGGACAUUUAAGUCAGGGGUUAAAUCCCAGAGCUCAACUCUGGAACUGCCUUUGAUACUGGGUGUCUAGAGUAUGGAAGAGGUGAGUGGAAUUCCGAGUGUAGAGGUGAAAUUCGUAGAUAUUCGGAGGAACACCAGUGGCGAAGGCGGCUCACUGGUCCAUUACUGACGCUGAGGUGCGAAAGCGUGGGGAGCAAACAGG